UACGUAUGGGGCAAGCGUUAUCCGGAUUUACUGGGUGUAAAGGGGGCGUAGGCGGCCUGGCAAGCCUGAUGUGAAAUACCGGGGCCCAACCCCGGGGCUGCAUUGGGAACUGCCAGGCUGGAGUGCCGGAGAGGCAGGCGGAAUUCCUAGUGUAGCGGUGAAAUGCGUAGAUAUUAGGAGGAACACCAGUGGCGAAGGCGGCCUGCUGGACGGUGACUGACGCUGAGGCUCGAAAGCGUGGGGAGCAAACAGG
rnacentral:rRNA from 1 species